rnacentral:rRNA from 1 species
UACGUAGGGUGCAAGCGUUAAUCGGACUUACUGGGCGUAAAGCGUGCGCAGGCGGUUCGGUAAGACAGGUGUGAAAUCCCUGGGCUCAACCUGGGAAUUGCGCUUGUGACUGGCGGGCUCGAGUACGGUAGAGGGGGGUGGAAUUCCUGGUGUAGCAGUGAAAUGCGUAGAGAUCAGGAGGAACACCGAUGGCGAAGGCAGCCCCCUGGGCCUGUACUGACGCUCAUGCACGAAAGCGUGGGGAGCAAACAGG